AUUUUGCUUCAAAUAAAUAAAAUUUUGAAUCUCUUACCUAUGUCUCAUUAAAAAAAACAAAAAAUAUAAAAGAACUUAAAAAAAAAUUCAUUUAAUAGGGUCCGAACUUAACUUUGUCAUAUAGAAUUUGAGAAUUUUUUAAUGUACCCUACAUAUUUCUCAGCCUUCACAUAAAAAUUCUAAAAUGCCCUUAUAUUCUGUAGAUAAAUCUCCAGACGC
rnacentral:lncRNA from 1 species